CCUACGGGGGGCAGCAGUGGGGAAUCUUGCGCAAUGCGCGAAAGCGUGACGCAGCAACGCCGCGUGGAGGAAGACGGCCCUCGGGUUGUAAACUCCUUUCAGUUGGGACGAAGCUCAACUGGUUAAUAGCCAGAUGGAGUGACGGUACCUUCAGAAGAAGCCCCGGCUAACUACGUGCCAGCAGCCGCGGUAAUACGUAGGGGGCUAGCGUUGUCCGGAAUCAUUGGGCGUAAAGAGCGUGUAGGCGGUCCGGUAAGUCCGCUGUGAAAGUCGGGGGCUCAACCCUCGAAUGCCGGUGGAAACUGUCGGGCUAGAGUGCGGAAGAGGCGAGUGGAAUUCCUGGUGUAGCGGUGAAAUGCGCAGAUAUCAGGAGGAACACCAAUUGCGAAGGCAGCUCGCUGGGACGUUACUGACGCUGAGACGCGAAAGCGUGGGGAGCAAACAGGCUUAGAUACCCCGGUAGUC
rnacentral:rRNA from 1 species